AGAACUUCUAAAAUUGUUAUUUUUGAACCAUACUCAAUCGUUGAAUUUUAACCAUUCUUGAAGUUCCAAUCGAAAUCGCAGAAAAACGGUUAAAUUCAAUCGGGAAAAGUUUCACUGCUGUACUCGAAAGUGUUUGCACCUUUGACAGCGCAUAAAGUUUUCGGGUGUGUUUAUUUGCUUCUCUCUGAAUCUGAUUCUGCUGCUGAUUCCGAACAAUUUUGCAAUAGAUUAAUUCAGGAGUAGAUCCGAGUGGCCAUAAGAUCCAGCGGAAAUAAUAUAAGAACAGAUCGCAUUGUGUGGCAACGGUGGCAACAGAAAAUAAUAAUCUCCGAGAAUAAUGGAAAAAAUGGUUCGUCCCAGCUGUGGAAAAAUGCUGCUCCGCACGGCUCAUCGAAAACCGUCUGGAACCACCAGAAGCAAAAUUGAGGAGGGAUCUAGCUACAGGGUUCCGGUCGGCAUAUUGAUGGCAGUAGAGAGGGCCACCAUAAAAAUCGACAGUCGGAUCCUUUCCCAGUAUGGAUCUUAUCUUGAUCAUUUGCUAAAAGAUGAGGUUCCAGGUGUAGAUUAGAUAGAUAAAGCCAGCUUUUAUUAGACCUGGA